AUUUAUUCAUUGUUAUCUAUUAUUAUUUAGCUGUGGCAGUUAAUGUCCACAGCAACUUACAUUUUUAGCUGUCUGUUACUGCCUCUACUGUCUCGUUGUUUUUGUGACAAUGACAAAUAAAGUACUUUGAACUUUGAACUUUGAGACAGGUGAGAAUAGGCAGUGCCCUAUAGAUAUGAGUCAGGUGUGGAUUAGACAGGUAGUGCCCUAUAGAUAUGAGUCAGGUGUGGAUUAGACAGGUAGUGCCCUAUAGAUAUGAGUCAGGUGUCAUAGUCUGGAUUAGACAGGUAGUGCCCUAUAGAUAUGAGUCAGGUGUGGAUUAGACAGGUAAGA
ensembl:lncRNA